GGGCUAUUAUCAGAUUCUUUUAAGGCUUAAAUCCCCAUUAUACCCCUAUUUCUUUCCUAAAUAACCAACAUGAAAUUUUAACCUCAGUCUAUCAUCUGGUUUGGUUACAAUUGACCCAGGUUAAUUAUGUUCAAGUUUGGGUCACAUUUAAUCUUGGACUAACAGGCUUGUUAAAAUUCAAAAUUAGCCAAAACUAAUUAGGUUUUAAAACAAGUUCCUUAAUGUGAUUUUUCAAUAACCAAACAUUAUACAGGAUGAUCAUUCAAUAUCAAAAACAAUAAAUCAAAAUGCCUAGAAGAGGAGAACCAUCCCUCAGCACUUAACUUGCUGAAAUAACCUAAUUAAAGUACUCAAAGAUCUUGAAAAUGAGAAGCAUACAGCAUGAAGUGAACACUCAAUUCAUAAAUCAAAUUAGAAAAGUAAAGGCUAACAUCAGCAAUUAAAGGUCCAACCAGACAAAUUAGCCUAAACUAAUAUCAGUACUGAAGAUCAAAAUUACUAUGAAAAUCAAAUACUUUGUAGCAUAAACAACUAACCAAACUAAUUAGAAUAUCGGGGAACAAAACAAAUGAAGGUCAUGAGAUGAAGGUCAACAAACCAUAGAAAUCACACUACUGAAGGAUUAGCAAACUAAGCUUUCAGGAUCAGAAGGCUAAUGCUAACAGGAUAUCACAACUACUCGAGAGACGAAGAAAUUUCAGAUUAUUGACAACCAAAGGCAUAUGACAAUUUAGACCUAUUUCAGAUGAGAUUGUGG
rnacentral:lncRNA from 1 species